GAAUGAAAAUAAUACAAAACUUCCCCAGAUCUUUCCAAAAUUAAAAACUGGCCCCCACUUUUAUUCGGAGUUUUUCUCGAGCUUCCUGUGCAGAGGCUUGCUUUCAAUUCCGCUGGUGGAGGUUCCAUAACAUCGACGAUGGAAAGGCGAUCCAUAUGGUUGCUCUUCUCGUCAUCUCUCUGCUUUUUUCGUUGCGACCACAGAGAGUUUCUUCCACUCUUCCUCUUCAAUCAUUGAAUCAGGGUUCUAAAGAUUCUGCCACUGAGAGUGCUCCAAAGCAGGAUUGGAACGAUGCUCGUGAGGUACACUGCUCGAGAGAUAGGAGUAGGGCGGCGUGGAAAAUAAUUGAGGAGUAUCUAAUGCCCUUUGUGGAUAAAAAGAAACACAAGAUUUGUACGGAGUGUAGGCUUCACCCGGAUAAUGAUAUGUUCAGAGAUCAAGAACAGCACAAAACGCAUCUAGAUUUUAAUGACUGGAAGUGUGGAUAUUGUAGAAAAAGAUCCUAUGAAGAGAAGUAUCUUUAUCAGCAUUUUGACAAUAGACACUAUGAUUUGCUGAAUGUGAGUCGAAGCAAGUGCAUGGCAGAUCUUUGUGGUGCAUUGCACUGUGAUCAUGUAAUGGAUUCAGUAUCACAGAAAAGUAAAUGCAAUCCUGCUGCUGCUGCAAGAAACAAAGACAUGUCUGAGGCUCUUGCUGAUAGUUGUUUUCCCAUCAAUGAGGGUGCCUCAGCCAGCCAUCUUCAUGAAUUCUUCUUGCACCAGUUCUGUGAUGCACACACUUGUAGCAGAAAGCCAAAACCGUUCUCGAGAGGUCGACAGGUUAGGACGAGUUGGUCCAUCGUUAUUUUAGUUUUGACCAUACUUAUUGUGUUGUUUUUCUAUGUCUUCGUUUACUUAUAUAAGAGAGGAAUGCAAACGAGACCACAAAAUGCUGAAGCGCCUCUCGAAAAGUGGAAGAAAGAAAAAAUCUUCGUAGAAUAGAAAGAAACUCUUGCCCUUUCAUUAACAAUAUGCAGAUUUAUUUACGUAACAGGUCGUAACGGGCCAAACCAGACAACAUCUUCUCGCUCACUUUUUAGGAAGAGAGGACAAAUCUAGUUUGUUUUAACCCGUUUGUUUUCUCACAUCAUUUGUAAUUAUAGAACUCUCAAUACAAAUCCAUCCUCUUGUGAGCAAUAAGAUUUUUGUAUCAUAACAUUUCUUUUGAGAAAUAUAACCAUUUCAUGAAUAUUAACUUGGGCAGAUUGAUCAAUCCGU